rnacentral:tRNA from 1 species
GCCGAGGUGGUGAAAUUGGUAGACACGCAUGGUUUAGGCCCAUGUGCAGCAAUGCAUGGAGGUUCAAGUCCUCUCCUCGGCA